CCUACGGGUGGCAGCAGUGGGGAAUAUUGCACAAUGGGCGAAAGCCUGAUGCAGCAACGUCGCGUGAAGGAAGAAGGGUUUCGGCUCGUAAACUUCUAUCAACAGGGACGAAAGAAAUGACGGUACCUGAAUAAGAAGCCCCGGCUAACUACGUGCCAGCAGCCGCGGUAAUACGUAGGGGGCAAGCGUUAUCCGGAAUUACUGGGUGUAACGGGUGAGUAGGCGGCAUGGUAAGCCAGAUGUGAAAGCCUUGGGCUUAACCCGAGGAUUGCAUUUGAAACUGUCAAGCUAGAGUACAGGAGAGGAAAGCGGAAUUCCUAGUGUAGCGGUGAAAUGCGUAGAUAUUAGGAAGAACACCGGUGGCGAAAGCGGCUCUCUGGUCUGUAACUGACGCUGAGGUUCGAAAGCGUGGGUAGCAAACAGGAUUAGAUACCCCGGUAGUC
rnacentral:rRNA from 1 species